CCCAAAACGGACGGCCCAGUACGUCCGUUUGGGUCGGCGGGUUGGAGAUUCCCUUAACGUGUGAACACAUGGAGCCAAGUUGGUCCCCACACCGACUCGCGUCUGCCCACAUCCACACAAAUCAGAUCGGACGGUAGCGACCAGUGAGCACUCCGUAACUCCAGAACGUGCGCGAACGUGCGCAGGCAAGAAUUAGAUUUAGCGUUAAAAUAAAGCGUGGCGGCAUUUAUCUGUUCGCUCCCCAUCUGCUCAACCCUAACCCUGCGCCGCCACCCUUCUCCAUGCCGUCACCUUCGCUACCCGGCUCCAUGCCGCUUCUGCGUCCCCAUCCCUACUCAGCCUCUCCAGCUCGAUAUUCCUUCCCCUACCCAGCCGCCCUUCCCUCUGCAGGUGAACCCUCCUUCGCUGCCACGGUGGUUCCCAAUUUACCGCGGCUCAUCGGCCUUCAGAGGACACCGCUGGCCAACCGUCUGUGUGACGUCGUCGAACUGAAGCACAUGUCUCCGAUCUACAGCCGCCGUUCCGGAUCUGCAGCAUCUCCCCAACCAAGGGGAUGUUCUAGAAGUGUCGAUGAAAUUUUUAUUAUGGACUAUGUAUCAAGUAAAUGCAAGUUAUAAAUGGAACUCAAAGAUGCAGGUACCUAUGCAAAUGAUAUCACUGUUUCUAUCGAUUAUGUAUAUAUGCUUCACAUGUUUCAUGUAGGAUAGUCAUGAGUUGGUUCUAUGAAAUAAAAUUGGUACUUUAUGAUUAAUUGUGGUUGCAUGUCUUUUCUAUUACAAUUAUCACUUUGGUGCCUUUGAAAUACCUAGAGACCUGGAGCAUGGCAGAACCUCUUGAACUCUUUGUUUCAUGAUAUAUUGCAAGAUGGCUCCAAAUAGAUAUUUGAUGAUUUUUCUGAAUGUCUGAAGAUAAACUGAGCUUGUCAACACCUGUCAGUUUUGAUGAGUUUUCUGAAGGUCUGAAGAUAAAUUGACUUUGAUAUUUCUUUUGCUCGUAGCAUGCUACUUUCUACACAUUUGUAGGCGUUGUUAUUGGUGAUUAGCUUGUAGUAGUCAGUGGAGAGAUGGCAACAUCUGAAGUCAACAAUAGUUUCGAUCUUUGUUUGAUUAUUCCUGUAGCGAAGUUGCCAACUUGUUGUUCUGGACGGAAGCAUGCUAGUUGAGAGAAACCUCCUUGUUCUUGCAGUGGUUAUGCAGUGGAAAUGACCAAGCUUCUUUAUAAUAUCAAAAGCGAAAUGCAUACAACAUCCACAGCCUGGUGUGUGGUAAUGCACAUUUUUGAAAGUUCUACACUCUUCAGAUGUGGAACAUAUAGCGAAAUGGCUAUUUAGAGAGACAAAUCAGAGAAGGAUAUGCCUCUUCUGGCCCUUCCAACUAGAGGCGUCCUCUUCAAAGAAUGAAUUAUCAUGUGAAAUUUGGGUCGCAACAUAUAUUCCACCAAGUAGGCAGUGGCUCUCUUCAACUGGAUGUUUUGUGUACAUUCUAUUUCAUUGAACAUGCACCUUGCAGCUAUUCUUUUGUAGACCUCGUAAUUAUGUUGAGAACAUCUGAACAUGUGUAUGUGUGAGACUUGUUGCAGAAGUAUCAGCUGUGUUUUAAUAAUCCUUAGGAGGAUAUGUGUUUUGAUAAUUUGAAUGUAUGCUUGCUGUGAAAUA